rnacentral:lncRNA from 13 species
CUGGGACCACUUCGCAGAUGGAACUUUAGGGAUGGCAGCACAUUUAGUAUAGAGUGCAACGCACUCAUGCCUACGUUUGCUCAGAUGCUAGAGUCAGUCAUGGGGAGCGUCCUGUCCACAACCCAGAUCGAUUCUCAGACCCAGGAUGCCAGCCACGGAGAACGUUGCCCCUCAGGAGACGGAGGAGUCGCCCUGACUCACGCCUGUGGAGCAGUGCUACCAUUAACACAGGAGUGCAGGAUACCAUGUGAACCCCAGACGUACGGUAUCUGCAGCAAAGGCCUCAGACACUAGGAAAACCCAGAUGAAAUGUGCGCAAGAGCCCAAGCUAGGGCUGGCUCAGCUCCAAGCCUGCAGAGCUGCAUAACUGCAGACUCCCGCUCCGGGUCUGAAACCAACAUCCUAGCGGCAAACGCGUUUUGGCAGGAGGCAGGUUGAUCUGGUUUUGGUGGCUGCAACUUAAGAGUAGAGUGUUCACCGUGAAAACUCUGUGUAAAAUGUGUAAAUAACACUGAGGAGAGGAGAAAUGCUAGUGGAAGUAAAUACUCCCCCCGACACUGGUGCACACAGGAGGCCACACGGAGCCAUUUCGGUCUCUGAUCACCUCAGUGCAGGGUGAAUGAACAGCAGAUCCAUCGCCGGCCACUGUCGACAGAGCCGCUGAGUGGGGAGGUGAGGAGAGGGGGCUCUGUGGCCGGACAGGCCUGGGCUGAGCUCUGGACUUUGUGGCUCCCAGCCUGAGUCUCCCCAUUCAUGAAGACAGCGGCAGUGACCUCAUGGGCUAUUGUGACACUUCGAGGAGAAUGGGGCAAUUUGCAUAGUAAGCAUUUGGUAGGUGUGAUCACAUUUUGAGGGAGAAUCAAACAAUUCUCUGCUUGCGUCCUAAUUCUUAAUGUCGUGUGGGGACUCACGCCUGGACGGGGUGGGUGAUGGUCCCGGCAAGCCUGGGACGUUUUGGGUUUUACAAUGGAAAGCCUGGCAUCUGGGACCCUGUCAGCCCCAGGCGCAUGGGGAUGGUUGGUCAUCUCAUCCCCUUGUCACUCGACACCCACUCCCAUUUUCCCUCCCUCCUGGAUCUGGGGACAACCUUCUGUUGUAAGGAAGACAGGUUGGGGAAUUACGCUCCUGUGGGCUGGAGUGAGAGGCAGGAACCCGCCUGCCCCAUGGAACAGCCGCCAGUUCAGCCAUGCACCUUCUGCCUCCCGGGGAUGAGUGUGGCUCCUGUCCUGGGCUUGGUCAGUAUGACGGACCCACCCUGGACUUUACAUCAGGAGCUGAGGACUCAAAGACACCAGAGCCUGAAGAGCCUCUGUGGUGGCAAGAUGGAAAUCCCAGAGCUGAAAGGGCAGCUAUGCCGAUGCAGGUGGUCAGAGCACUGCCGUGGGGAGCCACACGGGUUCAGGACCUGGUCCUGCGAGGACCUGGCAGUUGGAGAGGUGGCAGCUCAGCCCUUCCCAGCGCAAGGGCCAGUGAGAAGAGGGCUGUGGUUCCCAUCUGUGCAGGCAGUGAGCUGGGUGCCCAGACCCCAAGGAGCUUCUGAGAGGUACCCAGUACCCCCCCAAGAAAACCAUCAGUGAUGAGAUCAGCAAGAGUACUGUCUACUGCUCUCACCUAGGAACCCUGAGGCCUUGACAGGACAACAGGCUGGGCCUUGUUCCAGGAUCCCUGAGAACCUGGAAGUUGUCAAGGAAACACAUUUUCCUACCCAACUAAUGUGGUGAAUUUGAAGUGAGUCUCUAAAAAUAGACAUUUCUGGGUGGACAAAUUGUACAAAGGUGUGACUGCAUUUAUUGCAUCCUGAGGAUCAUGAAGAGC